GAUGAACGCUGGCGGCGUGCCUAACACAUGCAAGUCGAGCGAUCUUCUUCGGAAGAGAGCGGCGGACGGGUGAGUAACGCGUGGGUAACCUGCCUCAUACACAUGGAUAACAUACCGAAAGGUAUGCUAAUACAAGAUGAUAUAAGAGAUUCGCAUGGAUUUCUUAUCAAAGCUCCGGCGGUAUGAGAUGGACCCGCGUCUGAUUAGCUAGUUGGUAAGGUAACGGCUUACCAAGGCGACGAUCAGUAGCCGACCUGAGAGGGUGAUCGGCCACAUUGGAACUGAGACACGGUCCAAACUCCUACGGGAGGCAGCAGUGGGGAAUAUUGCACAAUGGGCGAAAGCCUGAUGCAGCAACGCCGCGUGAGCGAUGAAGGCCUUCGGGUCGUAAAGCUCUGUCCUCAAGGAAGAUAAUGACGGUACUUGAGGAGGAAGCCCCGGCUAACUACGUGCCAGCAGCCGCGGUAAUACGUAGGGGGCUAGCGUUAUCCGGAUUUACUGGGCGUAAAGGGUGCGUAGGUGGUUUCUUAAGUCAGGAGUGAAAGGCUACGGCUCAACCGUAGUAAGCUCUUGAAACUGGGAAACUUGAGUGCAGGAGAGGAAAGUGGAAUUCCUAGUGUAGCGGUGAAAUGCGUAGAUAUUAGGAGGAACACCAGUAGCGAAGGCGG
rnacentral:rRNA from 1 species